rnacentral:rRNA from 1 species
UGGGGAAUAUUGGGCAAUGGGCGCAAGCCUGACCCAGCAAUGCCGCGUGUGUGAAGAAGGCCUGCGGGUUGUAAAGCACUUUGGGCGGGGAGGAAGGCCCUGGGGUUAACACCCUUGGGGUUUGACGCUACCCGCAGAACAAGCACCGGCUAACUCCGUGCCAGCAGCCGCGGUAAUACGGAGGGUGCGAGCGUUAAUCGGAAUUACUGGGCGUAAAGCGUGCGUAGGCGGGCCGUUAAGUCUUGCGUGAAAUCCCCGGGCUCAACCUGGGAACUGCGCGGGAAACUGGCGGCCUGGAGUGCGGUAGAGGGCGGUGGAAUUUCCGGUGUAGCAGUGAAAUGCGUAGAGAUCGGAAGGAACACCAGUGGCGAAGGCGGCCGCCUGGGCCUGCACUGACGCUGAGGCACGAAAGCGUGGGGAGCAAACAGG